rnacentral:rRNA from 1 species
GACGAACGCUGGCGGCGUGCCUAACGCAUGCAAGUCGAACGGAGUAUUCAGCAAUGGAUACUUAGUGGCGAACGGGUGAGUAACGCGUAGAUAACCUGCCUCUAAGACGGGGACAACACCGCGAAAGUGGUGAUAAUACCGGAUGUGUUGGCGAAAACGCAUGUUUUCGCCAGAAAAGGUGGCCUCUUGGCAAUGCUACCGCUUAGAGAUGGGUCUGCGUCUGAUUAGCUAGUUGGUGAGGUAAAGGCUCACCAAGGCGACGAUCAGUAGCCGGUCUGAGAGGAUGAACGGCCACACUGGGACUGAGACACGGCCCAGACUCCUACGGGAGGCAGCAGUGGGGAAUCUUCCGCAAUGGGCGAAAGCCUGACGGAGCAACGCCGCGUGAGUGAAGAAGGUUUUCGGAUUGUAAAGCUCUGUCUUUUGGGACGAACGUGUUCUUUGUGAAUAAUGAGGAGCAAUGACGGUACCGAAGGAGGAAGCCACGGCUAACUACGUGCCAGCAGCCGCAGUAAUAC